CAGCAAGAGAGGGAACGUUUUGAGAAAGAACGUUGCAACGUUGACGCACAUUUUCUUCAUAUAUCAUGUCAAUAAAGGAAACUAUGGCGACAGGCGUCCAACAUGACCUGAUGAAGCAGGCACAGUGCUUUUGGUCAAUGCUGGAUGAGCUUGCAGAGACCGAUGAAGAUGCAUACAGGAAGUUCAUGGCCACAAACCUCCAAAGAGGACAGCAAGAAUUGACACCGGCCAAGCCAUGGAUGUAUGUCAAGACCCGUAUCAAGACCUUUGUCAGUGUACCAGAGUGAUGAGAACUCUCAGGAUGUCAUGAUCAAGUCUGAAAGUCAUGAUGAUGCGUCAAGUUCAAUGAACACUCACAUGAUGCUGGGAACAUACAUGUAAGUUGAGAAUGCAUGACCAUGGAAUGGCUACGAUGACCCACUGAAAACAAGGCUUGGUCCACAUUCUUGUGAUGUCCCCUGUGGACU